CACGUAGGGCGCAAGCGUUGUCCGGAAUUAUUGGGCGUAAAGAGCGUGUAGGCGGCUUGACAGGUCUGCUGUGAAAACUCGAGGCUCAACCUCGAGAUGUCGGCGGAAACCGUCUGGCUAGAGUCCGGAAGAGGAGAGUGGAAUUCCUGGUGUAGCGGUGAAAUGCGCAGAUAUCAGGAAGAACACCUAUGGCGAAGGCAGCUCUCUGGGACGGUACUGACGCUGAGACGCGAAAGCGUGGGGAGCGAACAGG
rnacentral:rRNA from 1 species